UACACAACUACGAAGUGUCCAAAAAACACAGGUUGACAGCGGAGGUCGGUGUGAGAGCCCUGUGCUACAGGUCAAUGAGGAAGAGUGAGGCAUCACACAGACUAAGUAUUAAGCUUCUGGAUUCAUCGCCAGUGGUACUGACACAUAGCCAGUGCUCCUGUGUGGCAGGUGCUGUUAUGUGCAAUCACACAGUGGCACUGCUCUUCCAAACAGCACACUACUCACAACUCAGAGUGCCGGUUGUCCCCCUGUGCAUAGCUGCACCGAAUCUGAACAGCAAUGGCACAAGCCACGGACAGUGGGUGUGAAGCCAGGACCUAUCAACUCUAUGAUCUUCACUAAGCCGGUACCAAAUAGGAUGGCCCAGACUGGAGUACGGAGUGGAUUCUACAGAGGCCUUUGUGGGUCCAUUACCAGAUCCCUGACCUGACAAGCCCCUUGUGGAAAGUGCCUUUGGGCUGGUGCAGGAGGGCAGUGUUCUGUCAUGUCAGCAGCCGGUUUUGACAACCCGGUACGUCACACUACACCGUGAUGCACCACCAACACCGCACUUGCCUCUGGAGGGGUAUGACAUCAAGGAAACCCUGCUCGCUCAGACAGCCUGUGAUAUUUUCUCAAACCGCUGUGCUGAACAAGUUUCCAAAGAACAUGCUGUGUGACACAAUAAAUAUCCUCUAACCUGUUAACCUGUGGCUUCUGGAAGAAACUCGGGUGAGUCAGUCACUGCAAACACAUUUGUAUCAUCAAGUGUUUGUCAAAUGAAAAUGAUAUGUUUUUCUACACUUAGGAUAAUUUUCUAUGUUGCAGUGCAGUAAAGUGCACGUUUCUUCUGUGUUCAAUCAUACAUGUUCUAAUUGUUAUAAACAGAAAAAAUCUUUUUUUACUUAGCUGCUUGAUUCUUAACUUGUUUAACUGAAACAUGAUGAAAUGUCAUAGUAUUAUUUUUUUUAAAUGUCCUUGGCAGUGCAUGUGUCCGCAUUGUAACUUACUAAUAAAAAGUCCUGUGUGUA